rnacentral:ncRNA from 2 species
AAAAGGCUUAAUAACUGACGGAAAAGUGGAGUACCACAAAGGAGUUAAGCCUAAGAUACUGCCGGCCGUCUGGGCAACAUUU